UUAAAAACAAUGAUAGAGAGUAGUAAGCUGCCGCUGCCUUUGCAGGGAGGAAAUGCCGUGACUGGAAGCAUUUCUACAGGGAAGCCGCCGAAUUCGCUCUGGAGUUGCCGCUUAGUUGGUAUACAAAAGCGGAUCGGUGACAAACCGUUAUUCUUUGCUUAAGGCUGAUAGAUUCAUUCUAUCAGUGAAUUAGGGUGGUACCGCGAAAUCAAAUCUUCGCCCCUUUA
rnacentral:ncRNA from 1 species